GCCCGGAUAGCUCAGUUGGUAGAGCGUUAGGCAGAACCUAACGGUCCAGGGUUCGCAGUCCCUGUUCGGGCG